rnacentral:rRNA from 1 species
UACGUAGGGUCCGAGCGUUGUCCGGAAUUAUUGGGCGUAAAGAGCUCGUAGGCGGUUUGUCGCGUCUGCUGUGAAAUCCCGAGGCUCAACCUCGGGUCUGCAGUGGGUACGGGCAGACUGGAGUGCGGUAGGGGAGACUGGAAUUCCUGGUGUAGCGGUGAAAUGCGCAGAUAUCAGGAGGAACACCGGUGGCGAAGGCGGGUCUCUGGGCAGUAACUGACGCUGAGGAGCGAAAGCGUGGGGAGCGAACAGG